GAUGAACGCUAGCGGCAGGCUUAACACAUGCAAGUCGAGGGGCAGCACGGGUAGCAAUACUUGGUGGCGACCGGCGCAAGGGUGCGUAACGCGUGAGCAACAUGCCCGUAUCAGGGGGAUAAUCCAUGGAAACGUGGUCUAAUACCCCAUAGUAAAUUUUUGGGGCAUCUCAAAGAUUUUAAAGCUUUGGUGGAUACGGAUUGGCUCGCGUGACAUUAGCUAGAUGGUAAGGUAACGGCUUACCAUGGCUACGAUGUCUAGGGGUUCUGAGAGGAAGGUCCCCCACACUGGAACUGAGACACGGUCCAGACUCCUACGGGAGGCAGCAGUGAGGAAUAUUGGACAAUGGAUGGAAAUCUGAUCCAGCCAUGCCGCGUGCAGGAAGACGGCCCUAUGGGUUGUAAACUGCUUUUGUAUGGGAGCAAUAAGAUCUACGUGUAGAUUGAUGAGAGUACCAUACGAAUAAGCACCGGCUAACUCCGUGCC
rnacentral:rRNA from 1 species